rnacentral:rRNA from 1 species
AACUCGGCUGCAUGAAGCUGGAAUCGCUAGUAAUCGCGGAUCAGAAUGCCGCGGUGAAUACGUUCCCGGGUCUUGUACACACCGCCCGUCACACCAUGGGAGUAGGUAAUGCCCGAAGUCGGUGACCUAACCGGAAGGAAGGAGCCGCCGAAGGCAGGACUUAUAACUGGGGUGAAGUCGUAACAAGGUAGC